rnacentral:rRNA from 1 species
AGAGCGAACGCUGGCGGCAGGCCUAACACAUGCAAGUCGAGCGCCCCGCAAGGGGAGCGGCAGACGGGAGAGUAACACGUGGGAACGUACCCUUUGGUUCGGAACAACACAGGGAAACUUGUGCUAAUACCGGAUAAGCCCUUACGGGGAAAGAUUUAUCGCCAAAGGAUCGGCCCGCGUCUGAUUAGCUUGUUGGUGAGGUAACGGCUCACCAAGGCUACGAUCAGUAGCUGGUCUGAGAGGAUGAUCAGCCUCACUGGGACUGAGACACGGCCCAGACUCCUACGGGAGGCAGCAGUGGGGAAUAUUGGACAAUGGGCGCAAGCCUGAUCCAGCCAUGCCGCGUGGAUGAUGAAGGCCCUAGGGUUGUAAAGUCCUUUCGACGGGAAGAUAAUGACGGUACCCGUAGAAGAAGCCCCGGCUAACUUCGCGCCAGCAGCCGC